AUGAAGAUAUCACUGAUUCUACUGCUGCUCGCCCUGGGGCUCCUUGUUCAGGGUUCAUCAGGAGACAUCAUCCUGACUCAGUCUCCUGGAUCUCAGUCUGUUGUUCCAGGACAGACUGUCUCUAUCAAAUGUAAAGCCAGUUCAGGUGUUUCCAAUGACUUGCAGUGGUAUCUUCAGAAACCUGGAAAUGCUCCUAAACUCCUGAUUUAUAAUGCUCAAACCCGUCAAUCUGGAAUUUCAGACAGAUUCAGUGGCACUCAGUCUGGAACUGACUUCACUCUGACCAUCAGUGGAGUUCAGACUGAAGAUACAGGAGAUUAUUAUUGUCAGCAGGAUAGCAGCCUCCCGUUCACACAGUGAUACAACGUCGUACAAAAACCUCCCUCAUAUAAAGAGGAACUGAUCUGACUCUGCAGCUGCAGAGAAAUAGAGAUAUUUAGAAGUUUGACUGAGAAUUAAUUCUAUACAGCAGAAUACAGUUCAAACUUUGAUCAUUUAUAAUUAUGAUAAUG